AGUUAAGUUAGAAAGGGCGCACGGUGGAUGCCUUGGCACUAGGAGCCGAUGAAGGACGGGACUAACACCGAUAUGCUUCGGGGAGCUGUAAGUAAGCUUUGAUCCGGAGAUUUCCGAAUGGGGAAACCCACUAUCCGUAAUGGGAUAGUAUCGUUACUUGAAUACAUAGAGUAACUGAAGGCAGACCCGGGGAACUGAAACAUCUAAGUACCCGGAGGAAGAGAAAGCAAACGCGAUUCCCUUAGUAGCGGCGAGCGAAACGGGAUUAGCCCAAACCAAGAGGCUUGCCUCU
rnacentral:rRNA from 1 species